UUUUUUUAAAGAGGUAGGAUUCCCAACCAACCCACCUGGACUAUGCUCUCUUCCUUAUGGAUCGGGGCAGAAUUGAACAUUGAACUGCAGGAAUCUAGUGUCGGCUUAUCCAUUAUUCCCAAUGCUCCCCGCGGUCGAUCAAACGGGAGAGACGAGCUUUUUUCCAACUAAACCUUGAAUUGAUUUAUCAAUUCCAAAAUUGCCUUUGUCCCAGCAAGAAAGCCGCAGCAACGGCUUUCGCGC
rnacentral:lncRNA from 1 species